GUCUUCCUCUACUUGUAUUUGGCUGUCAAUUUUUUUCUACACUUUUAGGUGUAUUUUGUACAAGAAUUUGCAUUAAAAUCGUCUGCCUAAGAAAAAUUGAAUUUUUUUGGGAACUUUUUUAUGAUUUUGGAUUUAUGGGUUGGAUGACUUUUUGGUGGUAAUAGGUGUCUUCCUCUACUCGUAUUUGGCUGUCAAUUUUUUUCUACACUUUUAGGAGUAUUUUGUGCAAGAAUUUGCAUUAAAAUCGUCUGCCUAAGGAAAAUUGAAUUUUUUUGGGAACUUUUUUAUGAUUUUGGAUUUAUGGGUUGGAUGACUUUUUGGUGGUAAUAGGUGUCUUCCUCUACUCGUAUUUGGCUGUCAAUUUUUUUCUACACUUUUAGGAGUAUUUUGUGCAAGAAUUUGCAUUAAAAUCGUCUGCCUAAGGAAAAUUGAAUUUUUUUGGGAACUUUUUUAUGAUUUUGGAUUUAUGGGUUGGAUGACAUUUUGGUGGUAAUAGGUCUCUUCCUCUACUCGUAUUUGGCUGUCAAUUUUUUUCUACACU